CGGGGAGGGUCAUUGGAAACUGGGGAACUUGAGUGCAGAAGAGGAGAGUGGAAUUCCACGUGUAGCGGUGAAAUGCGAUAGAGAUGUGGAGGAACACCAGUGGCGAAGGCGACUCUCUGGUCUGUAACUGACGCUGAGGAGCGAAAGCGUGGGGAGCGAACAGGAUUAGAUACCCUGGUAGUCCACGCCGUAAACGAUGAGUGCUAAGUGUUAGGGGGUUUCCGCCCCUUAGUGCUGCAGCUAACGCAUUAAGCACUCCGCCUGGGGAGUACGGUCGCAAGACUGAAACUCAAAGGAAUUGACGGGGGCCCGCACAAGCGGUGGAGCAUGUGGUUUAAUUCGAAGCAACGCGAAGAACCUUACCAGGUCUUGACAUCCUCUGACAAUCCUAGAGAUAGGACGUCCCCUUCGGGGGCAGAGUGACAGGUGGUGCAUGGUUGUCGUCAGCUCGUGUCGUGAGAUGUUGGGUUAAGUCCCGCAACGAGCGCAACCCUUGAUCUUAGUUGCCAGCAUUCAGUUGGGCACUCUAAGGUGACUGCCGGUGACAAACCGGAGGAAGGUGGGGAUGACGUCAAAUCAUCAUGCCCCUUAUGACCUGGGCUACACACGUGCUACAAUGGACAGAACAAAGGGUAGCGAAACCGCGAGGUUAAGCCAAUCCCACAAAUCUGUUCUCAGUUCGGAUCGCAGUCUGCAACUCGACUGCGUGAAGCUGGAAUCGCUAGUAA
rnacentral:rRNA from 1 species